GGCCAGUUAGCUCAGUUGGUUGGAGCGUGGUGCUGCUAACACCAAGGCUGCGGGUUCAACUCCCGUUCGAUCCC
rnacentral:tRNA from 1 species